AUUGAACGCUGGCGGCAGGCCUAACACAUGCAAGUCGAGCGGAUGAAGGGAGCUUGCUCCUGGAUUCAGCGGCGGACGGGUGAGUAAUGCCUAGGAAUCUGCCUGGUAGUGGGGGAUAACGUCCGGAAACGGGCGCUAAUACCGCAUACGUCCUGAGGGAGAAAGUGGGGGAUCUUCGGACCUCACGCCAUCAGAUGAGCCUAGGUCGGAUUAGCUAGUUGGUGGGGUAAAGGCCUACCAAGGCGACGAUCCGUAACUGGUCUGAGAGGAUGAUCAGUCACACUGGAACUGAGACACGGUCCAGACUCCUACGGGAGGCAGCAGUGGGGAAUAUUCGACAAUGGGCGAAAGCCUGAUCCAGCCACGCCGCGUGUGUGAAGAAGGUCUUCGGAUUGUAAAGCACUUUAAGUUGGGAGGAAGGGCAGUAAGUUAAUCCCUUGCUGUUUUGACGUUACCAACAGAAUAAGCACCGGCUAACUUCGUG
rnacentral:rRNA from 1 species